rnacentral:lncRNA from 1 species
AUGCGGAGGAUCUGUCACCUGCAGCAUCCUGGGGAGGCUCAAGGAGGUCGCUGCCCCAGGCAGAUUCAACCUUCUUACAUGAAGACGUUAUACCAUGGUGGAUGCAUCCUUUGGUUCCGCAGAGAAAUGGAAUCAGUGGUUGAGCGAGGUGCAAUGCAUGCAAACCAGAAAACAUCUGCAAGGAAUGUAGCACCUCACCGGCAGCGUUCCCUGCUCGGGCGGCCCUACCGACAGAGCGAGGUAUGUUUCAGCUUAGCAGCCCCUAACGAGGACCGGAUUUCGCUCCUCUUGCCCUUGUUGGAAGUUACUCACGCACAUGAGUAA